CCGCGGGAUUAGAGUUUGAUCCUGGCUCAGGACGAACGCUGGCGGCGUGCUUAACACAUGCAAGUCGAACGGAAAGGCCCUGCUUUUGUGGGGUGCUCGAGUGGCGAACGGGUGAGUAACACGUGAGUAACCUGCCCUUGACUUUGGGAUAACUUCAGGAAACUGGGGCUAAUACCGGAUAGGAGCUCCUGCUGCAUGGUGGGGGUUGGAAAGUUUCGGCGGUUGGGGAUGGACUCGCGGCUUAUCAGCUUGUUGGUGGGGUAGUGGCUUACCAAGGCUUUGACGGGUAGCCGGCCUGAGAGGGUGACCGGCCACAUUGGGACUGAGAUACGGCCCAGACUCCUACGGGAGGCAGCAGUGGGGAAUAUUGCACAAUGGGCGGAAGCCUGAUGCAGCAACGCCGCGUGCGGGAUGACGGCCUUCGGGUUGUAAACCGCUUUCGCCUGUGACGAAGCGUGAGUGACGGUAAUGGGUAAAGAAGCACCGGCUAACUACGUGCCAGCAGCCGCGGUGAUACGUAGGGUGCGAGCGUUGUCCGGAUUUAUUGGGCGUAAAGGGCUCGUAGGUGGUUGAUCGCGUCGGAAGUGUAAUCUUGGGGCUUAACCCUGAGCGUGCUUUCGAUACGGGUUGACUUGAGGAAGGUAGGGGAGAAUGGAAUUCCUGGUGGAGCGGUGGAAUGCGCAGAUAUCAGGAGGAACACCAGUGGCGAAGGCGGUUCUCUGGGCCUUUCCUGACGCUGAGGAGCGAAAGCGUGGGGAGCGAACAGGCUUAGAUACCCUGGUAGUCCACGCUGUAAACGGUGGGUACUAAGUGUGGGGUCCAUUCCACGGGUUCCGUGCCG
rnacentral:rRNA from 1 species